rnacentral:rRNA from 1 species
UGGGGAAUAUUGUGCAAUGGGGGAAACCCUGACACAGCGACGCCGCUUGAGUGAAGAAGGUCUUCGGAUCGUAAAACUCUGUCAUCGGGGACGAAGAUGACGGUACCCGAAGAACAAGCCACGGCUAACUACGUGCCAGCAGCCGCGGUAAUACGUAGGGGGCGAGCGUUGUCCGGAAUUACUGGGCGUAAAGGGCGUGUAGGCGGCCUGUUAAGUCAGGGGUGAAAGACCGGGGCUCAACCCCGGGGGUGCCUCUGAAACUGGCGGGCUUGAGUGCUCUAGAGGGCAGUAGUAUUCCCGGUGUAGCAGUUAUAUGCGUAGAGAUCGGGAGGAACACCAGUGGCGAAGGCGGCUGCCUGGGGAGUCACUGACGCUGAGGCGCGAAAGCUAGGGGAGCAAACAGG